GUCUUGCUGGCGCAAUGGUAGCGCGCCAGACUUCUAAUCUGGAGGGUAAGCCCUCUCCACCAUCGCGCAACUAUCUUGCCAACGCCUAACACUGUUCAAGUUGUGGGUUCGAGUCCCACGCAGGAUG
rfam:Rhinocladiella mackenziei CBS 650.93 unplaced genomic scaffold supercont1.3, whole genome shotgun sequence.